rnacentral:rRNA from 1 species
UAGGGAAUCUUCCGCAAUGUGCGAAAGCCUGACGGAGCAACGCCGCGUGAGUGAUGAAGGUCUUCGGAUCGUAAAACUCUGUUAUUAGGGAAGAACAAAUGUGUAAGUAACUAUGCACGUCUUGACGGUACCUAAUCAGAAAGCCACGGCUAACUACGUGCCAGCAGCCGCGGUAAUACGUAGGUGGCAAGCGUUAUCCGGAAUUAUUGGGCGUAAAGCGCGCGUAGGCCGUUUUUUAAGUCUGAUGUGAAAGCCCACGGCUCAACCGUGGAGGGUCAUUGGAAACUGGAAAACUUGAGUGCAGAAGAGGAAAGUGGAAUUCCAUGUGUAGCGGUGAAAUGCGCAGAGAUAUGGAGGAAAACCAGUGGCGAAGGCGACUUUCUGGUCUGUAACUGACGCUGAUGUGCGAAAGCGUGGGGAUCAAACAGG